UAGGGUAUCAAAAUACAGGUUAAAGAUGAAAAGUUAUAAAAAAAAAAAGCAUUAGCUUUAGGAUAUGAACUGGACUAUCAACUAGAAAGCCUGUUGAAAAACAAAUAAUGUGUGGUUGUGAUAGGGAUCAAGGGAUCAUUGGGCCUAAGGAGCCAUUGGCAAAUGAGACAUUAAAAAGCCCAAGGGAGUAUAUUGUCCACACUCGUAGGAAGAAGAGGACAAAUUAGGAAAAAGGGGAUUGUGAGUUUGUUAGAGGAGAGAGGAGAGACAUUUUCUGUUAUGGGUUUAUUGCUUUUUAUCAUGAGGUGUUGGUGAGAGGAGGGGAAGAGCGAGAAUAGUUUUUGCCUAUGCAGAGCAUAGCUCUGGGACAUUAGGAGGUUCAUCCUCUAUUGUAGUUUUCCAUUUUGCCUUUAAUCAAUAUUGAGUAAUUCCCCUGAUUUUCUUCAUUCCCUUGUUUUCUUCUUUCACUGCUGAAUCUGUUUUGUAUCAUUGGUCUGACCUGCCGGAUGCUUCCACAGAGUCCGGUGAAUGCCACAAAAACGAAGUCAUAGCAGUAAGCAACCAGCAGGAGGCGAGCCAGGGAUGGAAGGUCGCGUUGCAUCAUUGGAGAAUGAGAUUUCGAAGCUUAAGGCUUCCGUUGAGGUGUUGCGAAGUCAGUCGGAGAAAUAUAACACCAAACAAGACAUUAUUGCUGCGAAUCAAGAGAAAUUGAUGGAUAUGUUCAUCAAAAGUUUUGGGAAGGAUAACCCAGAAGAUGGCGAGAGUUCUGCGGGAAAAAACUCACACGGAAAGGGGGCCAAGGGAGACGCAGAGAAGUCCAGUUUCAGAACGAAUACAUUAGACGGGGACGCAUUGAACGAGUUUCGUCAGUCAAUGAAGAAGAUCGAAUUACCAACCUUCACCAGUGAGGAUCCAGCCGGUUGGAUUUCUCGUGCAGAAAUCUUUUCCAAGUCCAGAAUACCGGCGAAGCUGUGAAGGUAAGCCUUGCUCAGAUUUGUAUGGAAGGGGGUAUCAUCCACUUCUUUAAUUCAUUGUUGAACGAUUAUGAAGAUUUGACUUGGGAGGAUCUGAAGAGGGAGUUGAUGGAGAGGUACGGUGGAAUCGAGGAGGGGACGGUGUUUGAGCAAUUGACGUCAUUAUGCCAAACUGGGAUGGUGGAAGAAUACAUCCGACGCUUCAAGAGCUUGGUUGCUCAAGUACCAAGGUUGAUGGAGGGGCAGUAUUUUGCUUACUUUAUGAAUGGUCUGAGAGAAGACAUUUGUGCUCGUCUGAGGAUUCUGAACAUGGCAGUGUCGAUAUCGCGUGGGCGCCUCAUGAAUACAACGCGAGCGCUUGAGGCAGAAUUAGAGCGUGGGUCACGUGGAUGGAAAACGCGUGUUGACACUCUAAGAGGAGGAGGUUUCGGGUUUGUGUCGAGAUCCCAGCAUAGUGGAUCAAACACAGGCCAUGAAGGAUUGAAAGGUGUGGGCCUUCAGGUGGGAACUAAUGGGCCUGAUCCAUAUGCGAAAGAGGGGGUGUAGAAAGAAAUUUUAAUAGGCCUCGUGACAGGGGAGGUAAGCAUUUAGCCUACCAGGACUUGUUGGAUAGGCGCAAAAAAGGGUUAUGUUUUAAGUGUGGUGGCCCCUUUGGGCCACUCCAUCAGUGCCCCGUUAAGCAACUCAAGCUUAUUCUGGUGAAUGAGGAAAUCCAAGUGGAAUAUGAGGAAGAUGAGACUCCAAACAACGAGAGAAGUGAUGAAGACUAUGUCGUUUUGGAAGGGAAAUGCAGUGUGUUGACCUUGCGAGGCUUGGACACCGGCAAUCGAGAUUUCCCCAGUAUGAUGAAGAUUAGAGGGACCGUUGGUGGUAUUCCGAUCGUGCUUUUGGUGGACAGUGGGGCAACCCAUGAUUUCGUAUCGAAGAAGUUGGUGGAGGCUUUUGGCUGGGGAUGGGAGAAUACAAAGAAGAUGAGGAUUUUAAUGGGUGAUGGUCACAAGGCUGACACCUGUGGAAUUUGUCGAAACAUUUGUGUGGAGACAGAAGCUGGUAAUGUUCUGAUCGAUGCUGUGCUGUUCGAGUUGGGAGACAUUGAUAUUUUUUUAGGAAUGUCUUGGUUGCGUUCACUGGGGGAGAUGACAAUUGAAUGAUCCAAAAAGAUCAUGAAAUUCAAAGAAGGUGGGAUGUCAAAGACGUUGAAAGGGAUUGUGGGCGAGGAACCAUUGUUGGCAUCACUUGAGGGAAUUCUGAAUGAAGAAAAGGGACAUAGAGAGGGUGAGUUGAACCAGCAGAAGCGACUAGAGUUGGAGGAGAUUUUGAAGGAAUUUGAAGAUGUAUUCCAGGAACCUAGAGGUAUUCCCCUAGAAAGGGUGAAAGAGCAUUCAAUUACUCUUAAGCCAGGAGAAGCACCGGUGAAUGUACAACCCUAUAGGUACCCGUAUCACCAAAAAAAUGAAAUCAAAAGGCAAGUUAAGGAGCUGCUGGAAAAUGGGUGGAUAAGGCAUAGUCAAAGUGAGUAUUCAAGCCCUGUCAUCUUGGUGAAAAAGAAGAGUAACCAAUGGAGGAUGUGUGUCGACUAUCGUGCUUUGAACAAGGCAACAAUACCAGAUAAAUUUCCGAUUCCGAUUAUUGAGGAAUUAUUGGAUGAACUACAUGGGGCAAAAUAUUUUUCCAAGUUGGACCUCCGAUCAGGUUAUCACCAAGUGAGAAUGAAAGUGGAGGACAUCCCAAAAACAACAUUUAGAAAACAUGAGGGGCAUUACGAGUAUCUUGUCAUGCCAUUUGGUUUGAUGAAUGCUCCUGCGACAGUCCAAUCCCUUAUGAAUGAAGUGUUUAGGGACUUAUUGAGGCGUGGGGUAUUGGUUUUCUUCGAUGAUAUCUUGGUGUAUCAUGAGGAAUGGGAGGAGCAUAUAGAGGGGUUAAGAGUUGUUCUGGGAAUUUUGAGGCAACAUUGCCUGUAUGCCAAUAAGGAGAAGUGUAGCUUUGGCCAAAAUGAGCUUAGGGUAUUUGGGGCAUAUCAUCACACAACAAGGAGUGGAAGUGGAUCCAAACAAGGUCAAGAGCAUUGUGGAGUGGCCUGUACCCAAAAAUGUGAAGGGGGUUUGAGGAUUUUUGGGAAUUACGGGUUACUACACGUAAAUUCAGUAAAGAUUAUGGGAAGGUGGCAAGACCCUUGACAGAAUUAACAAAAAAAGAUGGUUUUGGAUGGAAUGAGCAAACCCAAAUCGCGUUUGAAGAACUGAAGAAAAGGAUCACCACAGCCCCCGUGCUUACCUUACCCAAUUUUGAAAAGAAAUUUGAGCUAGAGUGUGAUGCUUCUGGACUUGGAAUUGGUGCAAUUUUGAUGCAGGAACAUAGGCCUAUAGCUUACUUUAGUAAAGCUUUGGGAAGCAAAAACUUAGCUAAGUCCGCUUAUGAAAAGUAAUUGAUGGCAGUGGCAUUAGCAAUACAACACUGGUCGCCAUAUCUGUUAGGAAGAAAGUUUGUAGUUUAUUCAAAUCAAAAGAGUUUGAGACAAUUAUUGCAGCAGCGGAUAACCACAGGGAGUCAACAAAAUUGGUUAGCUAAGUUACUUGGGUACAACUUUGAGAUAGUCUACAAACCUGGUCUAGAAAACAAAGGAGCAGAUGCGUUGUCCCGAAGUUUGGGGGAGUUGUCUUCCAUGGUGUCUAUGCCUGUGUGGCUGGAUUGUCAGGCUUUAGUGGCUGAGGUGCAUGAGGACGAGUUAUGGAAGAAGAAAAUAGAAGCAUUGCAACAUGGACAGAUUGAUCAGGGUGAUUUCACUUACAGACAUGGAAUCCUGUACUACAAGGACAGAUUAGUAAUAUCUAACAAAUCUAAUUGGAUCCCUAAGUUGAUUGAGGAAUUUCAUUCUACACCCCAAAGUGGACAUUCGGGUUUCUAUAGAACUUACCGGAGAUUAGCCUUGAAUGUAUUUUGGAUUGGCAUGAGGAGGGAUGUGAUGAAAUUUGUACAAAAUUGUGAUAUAUGCCAACGACAAAAAUACCUCACCACUGCUCCUGGGGGUUUACUACAGCCACUUCUAGUUCCUGCACAAAUAUGGGAAGAUAUUUCCCUUGAUUUUAUUACUGGGUUACCUCGAUCAAAAGGGUAUGAAGCUGUCCUGGUAGUUGUGGAUAGGCUAUCCAAGUAUAGCCACUUUAUUCCACUGAAGCAUCCUUAUACGGCGAGAACAGUAGUUGAAUUGUUCAUAAGGGAAGUGGUUCGCUUGCAUGGAGUUCCUAGUUCUGUAAUUAGUGAUAGAGAUUCACUGUUCAUGAGUGUGUUCUUGAAGGAGUUUUUUAGACUCCAAGGGACUGUGUUGAAGAUGAGUACAUCUUAUCAUCCGCAAAUGGAUGGUCAAACCGAAGUAACAAACCGAUGUUUAGAGACUUAUCUCAGAUGCUUUAUCGGUGACAAGCCUAGGAGUUGGGUUCAGUGCUUAUCUUGGGCUGAAUAUUGGUUUAAUACCACCUAUCAUGAGUCCAUUGGCAUUACAUCAUUUGAGGCCAUAUAUGGGCGAAAACCACCUGCUCUAGUGAGAAGUGUGCCUUGAGAAAUUCGAGUGGCAACUGUGUUUAAGGAUUUACAGGAUCGUGAUGAGAUCCUUAGACAACUGAAAAUCCAUCUGGAGAGAGCCAGGGAAAGAAUGAAGCAUCAGGUUGAUAAACACAGAACAUAGAGGAGUUUUGAGGUGGGAGAUAUAGUCUUUCUCAAGCUGAAACCGUAUAGGCAAGCAUCAGUGACAAACCGGAUCAAUCCAAAGCUAUGUGCUCGUUAUUAUAGGCCUUAUGAAGUGUUGGAAAGAAUUGGAGAGGUAGCUUAUCGUCUGAAAUUGCCAGCAACAUCAAGAAUUCAUCCGGUAUUCCAUGUUUCGUUACUGAAGAAAGCACAUGGAGGGUACCCCGUGGAGACUGAAUUAUUGCCUGAUUUGGAAGAAGGAACUGUGGCAAUAGCUGAACCUGAGGCUGUGCUAGAGGUCAGGGAGGUAUCUAAAGGAGGGAAGAGGGUAAUUCAAUAGUUGGUGAGCUGGAAAGGCCAACCAAGUGAAGAGGCUACUUGGGAGGAAGAAGUGCUCAUGAGAAGUCAAUUUCUAGAAUUGAAGCUUGAGGACAAGCAGUUGUUUUUAGGAGGAGGUAUUGAUAGGGAUCAAGGGAUCAUUGGGCCUAAGGAGCCAUUGGCAAAUGAGACAUUAAAAAGCCCAAAGGAGUGGAUUGUCUACACUCGUAGGAAGAAGAUGGCAAAUUAGGAAAAAAGGGAUUGUGAGUUUGUUAGAGGAGAGAUGAGAGAUAUUUUCUGUUAUGGGUUUAUUGCUUUUUAUCAUGAGGUGUUGGUGAGAGGAGGGGAAG
rnacentral:lncRNA from 1 species